UAGGGAAUAUUGGACAAUGGGCGCAAGCCUGAUCCAGCCAUGCCGCGUGAGUGAAGAAGGCCCUCGGGUUGUAAAGCUCUUUUGUCCGGAAAGAAAAGCUUUGGGUUAAUACCCCGAAGUCCUGACGGUACCGGAAGAAUAAGCACCGGCUAACUUCGUGCCAGCAGCCGCGGUAAUACGAAGGGUGCAAGCGUUACUCGGAAUUACUGGGCGUAAAGCGUGCGUAGGUGGUUCGUUAAGUCUGAUGUGAAAGCCCUGGGCUCAACCUGGGAAUGGCAUUGGAUACUGGCGGGCUAGAGUGCGGUAGAGGGCAGUGGAAUUCCCGGUGUAGCAGUGAAAUGCGUAGAGAUCGGGAGGAACAUCUGUGGCGAAGGCGACUGCCUGGACCAGCACUGACACUGAGGCACGAAGGCGUGGGGAGCAAACAGA
rnacentral:rRNA from 1 species